AGUGAACGCUGGCGGUAGGCCUAACACAUGCAAGUCGAACGGCAGCACAGUAAGAGCUUGCUCUUACGGGUGGCGAGUGGCGGACGGGUGAGGAAUACAUCGGAAUCUACUUUUUCGUGGGGGAUAACGUAGGGAAACUUACGCUAAUACCGCAUACGACCUACGGGUGAAAGCAGGGGAUCUUCGGACCUUGCGCGAUUGAAUGAGCCGAUGUCGGAUUAGCUAGUUGGCGGGGUAAAGGCCCACCAAGGCGACGAUCCGUAGCUGGUCUGAGAGGAUGAUAAGCAAAACUGAAACUGAGCAACGGUCCAGAUUCUUACGGGAGGAAGAAGUGGGGAAUAUUGGCAAAUGGGGGAAAGCUUGAUCAAGCAAUACGGCGUGGGUGAAGAAGGCUUUCGGGUUGUAAAGCCCUUUUGUUGGGAAAGAAAAGCAGCAGGUUAAUACCCCGCUGUUCUGACGGUACCAAAAGAAUAAGAACCGGCUAAUUUCGU
rnacentral:rRNA from 1 species